rnacentral:rRNA from 1 species
UACACCGAAUGCUUGCAUUCACCGUAAGAAGUUGAGUGGCGGACGGGUGAGUAACACGUGGGUAACCUGCCUAAAAGAAGGGGAUAACACUUGGAAACAGGUGCUAAUACCGUAUAUCUCUAAGGAUCGCAUGAUCCUUAGAUGAAAGAUGGUUCUGCUAUCGCUUUUAGAUGGACCCGCGGCGUAUUAACUAGUUGGUGGGGUAACGGCCUACCAAGGUGAUGAUACGUAGCCGAACUGAGAGGUUGAUCGGCCACAUUGGGACUGAGACACGGCCCAAACUCCUACGGGAGGCAGCAGUAGGGAAUCUUCCACAAUGGACGCAAGUCUGAUGGAGCAACGCCGCGUGAGUGAAGAAGGUCUUCGGAUCGUAAAACUCUGUUGUUAGAGAAGAACACGAGUGAGAGUAACUGUUCAUUCGAUGACGGUAUCUAACCAGCAAGUCACGGCUAACUACGUGCCAGCAGCCGCGGUAAUACGUAGGUGGCAAGCGUUGUCCGGAUUUAUUGGGCGUAAAGGGAACGCAGGCGGUCUUUUAAGUCUGAUGUGAAAGCCUUCGGCUUAACCGGAGUAGUGCAUUGGAAACUGGAAGACUUGAGUGCAGAAGAGGAGAGUGGAACUCCAUGU